CAAAUGUCCUCAAACUUGUAAGUACAUUUUAAAUUUCUUUGAACACCUGACUUAAUUUAAUGACUUUGUGAUACUGAAAUUUAUAAUAAUGAGUAAAUCUCAAUUCAGGGUGAAGUCUUUUACCCUGAAAAUACCUUCACACUACACUGUGUGCACAAUUAUUACGCAAGUGAGUAUAUAUAUUUUAUGUACUAAACCACAUCACAGUACUGGACAAGACCUACUUUCAGGAUUUACAGUUUUCGAAACACUGUGAAAUUGAGGCACACAAUGAUGGGACCCGCUGGUAAAGUUUCUGGGCUGCCUUUCAUAACAGCCAUCUCUCAAGAUUUUCUCCACUUAAAGCAAUGCAGGGAUUGUAACAUCUGGUCCGUUUACUGAAUUUUGGCCAUAUCAUAAUUUUUAUGCAUAUUUUCCAACUUCAAGCUGUAUAAACUUAAGUGCUUAUUGGAUUUAAGCAUAUCAGGUGAUGUGUAUUUGGCCUAAGGAGAUUAACACACUAUAUAAAGGUGUGCAUAAUUUUUAGGCAGCUUCUCUUCCUCACUCUUUCAGAGGGAUGCAGCACUCUUGAAAUUGCGACGCUAUUGGGGCCUGACCACAGAACCAUCAAUCGUUUUAUUGCAAAUAGGGUCGCAAGAAACGUUUUGAGAAAAAAAGACUCAAAUUUGCUGCCAAAGAUUUGAGAAGAAUCAAACAUGAAGCUACCAGGAACCCAUUAUCCUCCAGCGCUGCCAUAUUCCAGAACUGCAACCUACCCGGAGUGUCCAGAAGUACAAGGUGUUCAGUGCUCAGAGACAUGGCCAAGUGUCCGAGACACCUCGGAAUUCUGCUGAAGAUAUUAUCUGUGACAACGAAAGAAGCAAGAUGGAUGUGCUGUUUGGUCCAGUGGUGGAGCUCUAACACUGUGAAUGAUCAGACUUACUGAGUCUUUCCACUGAAGCUUCAACUUAUGUCAUUUCUUUGUUGUUUGUAAGUCACAUCAGAAGAGCAUCAGCUGGGUGUGUCACAGUGACAACACACACCAGCAUGUAUCUGUGUGAGGUUGAUGCGGUGUGGGACUAUGUUUAGGAAGUCCACAAAGAAACACAACCUGAUAUUUUAGAAAUGUGUCAUUUUUAUAACCUCUCAAAAUAAAAACAGGAAAUACAUCAGAGCUCUGUCUGAUUUUAGGUGGAUUCAUUUGUUCUGAUGUGAAAAAUGUGCCAUUUUUUAGAAGUACAGAAUAAUUCUUCACACUUUAAAGACAAAUUAAAAGAUAAAGAGGAAAAUAUUAAAUUUAAAAGCCGUGAUGUUGCUUGAGGCUAAAUGGGAUCACUCACUUUGCUCAUUUGGUUCUUUCACAUUUCACUUUCUCUGAAUUCAUCUUAAAAACCUGCUAAUUUUCUCUGCAUAAUUAAAGCUCUAAUUCAUCAUCAUCAUGUUAUAACACUGAAAACAACCUCUGUAAUCUGGUUACACUGGCUACUUUGCUGCUUUUCUGAGAUAAAAUAUGAGAAUCUCUGAAUAUUUACCAACUCUAAAUAUUGGGCACAUUUCUCUGGCUCUGACCGUUUCCUCCUGGCACUGCAGCGUUAGUGUCUAACCUUAGCCACGUUAUUAAGUGUAUACAUUUUUCAUCACUACAUGUUUUCCAUUGGUCUGUCAACAGCAAUAUCCUAGAAAUAAAAUUCUUUUCUUUUUUGCUUUGGUGUAA
ensembl:lncRNA